GCCAGGCAUGGUGGAGCAUGCCUGUAAUUCCAGCAGCUCAGGAGGCUGAGGCAGGAGGAUAGAGAGUUCAAAGACAGCCUCAGCAACUUAGCAAGGCCCUAAGCAACUUAGUGAAGCUCUAAGUAACUUAGUAAUACCCUGUCUCAA
rnacentral:sRNA from 1 species